CCUACGGGUGGCAGCAGUAGGGAAUAUUGCUCAAUGGGGGAAACCCUGAAGCAGCAACGCCGCGUGGAGGAUGAAGGUUUUCGGAUUGUAAACUCCCUUUGUUAGAGAAGAUAAUGACGGUAUCUAACGAAUAAGCACCGGCCAACUCCGUGCAAGCAGCCGCGGUAAUACGGAGGGUGCAAGCGUUACUCGGAAUCACCGGGCGUAAAGAGGGCGUAGGCGGGAUAGCAAGUCAGAUGUGAAAUCCUAUGGCUUAACCAUAGAACUGCAUUUGAAACUGUUAUUCUAGAGUAUGGGAGAGGUAGGUGGAAUUCUUGGUGUAGGGGUAAAAUCCGUAGAGAUCAAGAGGAAUACUCAUUGCGAAGGCGACCUGCUAGAACAUAACUGACGCUGAUGCGCGAAAGCGUGGGGAGCAAACAGGAUUAGAUACCCGGGUAGUC
rnacentral:rRNA from 1 species